rnacentral:lncRNA from 1 species
CUGCCCUCGCAGGGACCCAGAGGUCUGCUCGGCCCCAAAGGCCCCCCAGGAAUCCCCGGCCCCCCGGUAAGUGCCGUAGUAAGACCCUCGUCCCCGUCCCCUCCCAAACCCGCUGUGUCCUGUGUCCCCCACCUCAGCACCCAUCUCCUCCGCAGGGCGUGCGUGGCAUGGACGGUCCCGUCGGUCCCAAGGGGAACCUGGUGAGUUCGGGGAGGGGGGGGGGGGGCGGCCAGUUCAUCCCACCUGGGUGCCGUGAGCUUCCCCGCAGCAGUGUCCCCCCCAGUGUCCCUCUGUGGGGUGCCCGUCCCCACCAUGAUACCCCCCCAGGGACAAGUCAUGUCCCACUGGGGACACCGGCGUGUCCCCAGUGGGGUCCUCGAGCACUGACCCACCGUCUCUGACUGUCCCAGGGGCCGCAAGGGGAGCCCGGACCCCCCGGCCAGCAGGGGACCCCAGGAACGCAGGUGAGCACCCCCAUUUCAGCCAGCAGCCGGACCACCCCCAGCUUCCCUCCUCCUGGAGCAAGAUGGGAGGGGGCCCCAUUGGUGGGAGUAGGGGGGCACAGGGUGGUAACACUCGCCCCCCCAUCUCUGUGUUUUAGGGUCUCCCAGGACCACAAGGUGCCAUGGGACCUCCUGGAGAGAAGGUGGGUGCUGGGUCCUGAACCUGGGGGGGGCGCGAAGGGAACUGGGACUGGUGGGGGGGGGGAACACAUGAGGCUGCUCCCCUCCCUCGCUGCCGGUGCUCACCCCGGUUUCUCUCUCCGCAGGGUCCCCAAGGGAAACCCGGUUUGCCCGGCAUGCCCGGCUCCGACGGACCCCCUGGCCACCCCGGGAAGGAGGGACCCCCUGGCACCAAGGGCAACCAGGUAACGCACCACGCGUCCCCCCCUCCCCGGGCUCUGCCCCUCUCUUGCCCCCUCACCCCAGGGGGGGGCAACGGGCAGCCCUGACCCCAUUGGGGGGUGACCCUCCCCAAAUGUCCCCUGGCCCACGGUACAAACCUCCCCCUCUCUCCGCAGGGCCCCUCGGGUCCCCAGGGACCCAUCGGCUACCCAGGCCCACGCGGUGUGAAGGUCAGUACCUGAUUAUUUUUUUUUUGGGGGGGGGGGGGGGGGCGGGGGCCNNAAAAAACCGGGAGGAAUCCAGAGCCGUGACGCCUUCUCGCGCCAGGGGUCACCCCGCUCCUCUCUCCCUAGGGAGUGGACGGCAUCCGGGGGCUGAAAGGACACAAGGGUGA